rnacentral:rRNA from 1 species
AGAGUUUGAUCCUGGCUCAGAUUGAACGCUGGCGGCAUGCCUUACACAUGCAAGUCGAACGGUAACAGGUCUUCGGAUGCUGACGAGUGGCGAACGGGUGAGUAAUACAUCGGAACGUGCCCGAUCGUGGGGGAUAACGAGGCGAAAGCUUUGCUAAUACCGCAUACGAUCUACGGAUGAAAGCGGGGGAUCUUCGGACCUCGCGCGGACGGAGCGGCCGAUGGCAGAUUAGGUAGUUGGUGGGAUAAAAGCUUACCAAGCCGACGAUCUGUAGCUGGUCUGAGAGGAUGAUCAGCCACACUGGGACUGAGACACGGCCCAGACUCCUACGGGAGGCAGCAGUGGGGAAUUUUGGACAAUGGGCGAAAGCCUGAUCCAGCCAUGCCGCGUGCAGGAUGAAGGCCUUCGGGUUGUAAACUGCUUUUGUACGGAACGAAAAGCCUCUUUCUAAUAAAGAGGGGUCAUGACGGUACCGUAAGAAUAAGCACCGGCUAACUACGUGCCAGCAGCCGCGGUAAUACGUAGGGUGCAAGCGUUAAUCGGAAUUACUGGGCGUAAAGCGUGCGCAGGCGGUUUUGUAAGACAGAGGUGAAAUCCCCGGGCUCAACCUGGGAACUGCCUUUGUGACUGCAAGGCUGGAGUGCGGCAGAGGGGGAUGGAAUUCCGCGUGUAGCAGUGAAAUGCGUAGAUAUGCAGAGGAACACCGAUGGCGAAGGCAAUCCCCUGGGCCUGCACUGACGCUCAUGCACGAAAGCGUGGGGAGCAAACAGGAUUAGAUACCCCGGUAGUCCAA